rnacentral:rRNA from 1 species
AUUGAACGCUGGCGGCAGGCCUAACACAUGCAAGUCGAGCGGCAGCGGGAAAGUAGCUUGCUACUUUUGCCGGCGAGCGGCGGACGGGUGAGUAAUGCCUGGGGAUCUGCCCAGUCGAGGGGGAAAACUACUGGAAACGAUAGCUAAUACCGCAUACGCCCUACGGGGGAAAGCAGGGGACCUUCGGGCCUUGCGCGAUUGGAUGAACCCAGGUGGGAUUAGCUAGUUGGUGAGGUAAUGGCUCACCAAGGCGACGAUCCCUAGCUGGUCUGAGAGGAUGAUCAGCCACACUGGAACUGAGACACGGUCCAGACUCCUACGGGAGGCAGCAGUGGGGAAUAUUGCACAAUGGGGGAAACCCUGAUGCAGCCAUGCCGCGUGUGUGAAGAAGGCCUUCGGGUUGUAAAGCACUUUCAGCGAGGAGGAAAGGUUGUUGGCUAAUAUCCAGCAGCUGUGACGUUACUCGCAGAAGAAGCACCGGCUAACUCCGUGCCAGCAGCCGCCGUAAAAC